CCAAUAGCGUAUAUUAAAGUUGUUGCAGUUAAAAAGCUCGUAGUUGAAUUUCGGAAUUUUUUUAUCGGUUGAAUCAACAGGUUCGUACUGAUUUUAAGAAUUUCUACCUUCUGGAGAACCUUAAUGUCAUUAAUUUGGUGUUUUGGGAAACCAGGACUGUUACCUUGAAAAAAUUAGAGUGUUUAAAGCAGGCUUAUGUCUGAAUAUAUUAGCAUGGAAUAAUGAAAUAGGACGGCAUGGUUCUAUUUUGUUGGUUUCUAGGAUCACCGUAAUGAUUAAUAGGGAUAGUUGGGGGCAUUAGUAUUCAAUUGUCAGAGGUGAAAUUCUUGGAUUUAUUGAAGACUAACUUCUGCGAAAGCAUUUGCCAAGGAUGUUUUCAUUAAUCAAGAACGAAAGUUAGGGGAUCGAAGACGAUCAGAUACCGUCGUAGUCUUAACCAUAAACUAUGCCGACUAGGAAUCGGACGAAGUUAAUUUUUUAAUGACUCGUUCGGCGCCUUACG
rnacentral:rRNA from 1 species